UUCCCUAUGCUGGGGCUGCUGCUUUCAGCCAGGGAUGUUGUUAACUGUUAGCUUUGGUUUCUGGUGGCCUCUACACUCGCAGUACCAGGUCUCCUCACUGCAGUGAGUGAUCAAAGCUCAGACUGGCUUUGUGUACCUAAACAGAAGUAACAAUUUACAUUUAAUCUAAGGCAUUUUCAUGUGAACAUUAAUGUAAAAAAGAUGUCUUUAGUUUCUGAUCCCUCCCCCUCUCCAAGUAUAUAAAGACUGUGUGGUUUCAGGGAUUCCUUCUGCACCCAGAUGUCCUUUUCCUUCUGCCUGCCUUGAAGACCCUCAGCUACAGAGGCUUUUAAAAACAACCUGCCUUGAAACCAGUGAGCUCUGAAGUCCAUAAGCCCAGAAAUGAACAUCUGAUUGUGUAUUAGGACCUCCCUGAAUGCUUACAACUGGAUGCCAUAUGGAAAAUCCUUAGCUGAUUAUGGAAGCCUCCUAAAUGCUGAGAAAGAGACCAGGCAGAGCUAUCAUGUCCUUUGCUGAAAGGUGAAGUGUCUACAUGGAGCUGCUCUGGUUCUCUUUGCACUGCCAUUGCAGCAGAAUCAAGACGCGGUUGGCUGAAUGUCAUCUCAUGCCAUUUAAGCACUUUGGAGGUUCAAACUGGUUCUCAUACCAAAGGAACAAUGAAGGAGGCUGCACAGCUGGGCUGCAACAAUUGCUCUGAACCCCUGAAGCACACACUGCUGCCAGUGAGAAAACAGCAGGGAAGGGCUACUUAAGCAAGCAGACCUAAGGCAGGGCACUGGUUCUGCAUAUGGGACAACCAUAACCAAGGACUGAAGAUCUAUCAGCAAAGAAACCAGUGAGGAGUGUCACUGUGCUCUCCCCUGCCUGGGACUUGCUGUUUCAAUAGAGGGCUGGUGAGAAGAUGAAGAGUAGGAGUUUGGUUUGGUCAGAAUACCUUGGCUGUUCCUUUUUCCUUUAAAGAGUAUUUGGAGCAUGUGAUCCUGUUCUUUCACUGGCUUUGUUUAGAUGACACCAAAGAUGCAGCACUGUCCAGAAAUGCUCUGGAAAUGCUCAAGAAAUACAGCAUGCCAGCUG